AUGUUCAAAUUUUCAAAAAAAAAAUCAGAAUUUCAGAAUUUAUUUUAUUUAUUUUUAAAAAAAUUAGAAUUCCAAAAAUUUGUAAAUUUUCAAAUUUUGUUUAAAUUUGUGUUCAUAUUUUUCCGAUUUUGUUCAUCAUUCAAAUAUAAUAUUUGGAAUUUGAAAAUGUUCAGCAUGUCUAAACACAUGCAGGCUGUCAAACAAAGUCUCAGCUCAGCAUGUCUCAGUGCAUACAUCGCUGCCAAACAACAGCAACUGCGUGGACUCAGCAUGUCUACACUCAGCAUGUAUAAGAGAAACAACUAG
rnacentral:rRNA from 1 species